rnacentral:tRNA from 1 species
GUUAUGGCUCAGUGGUAGAGCACUUGCCUAGCAUGUGUGAGGCACUGGGUUCAAUUCUCAGCACCACA